rnacentral:rRNA from 1 species
GACGAACGCUGGCGGCGUGCUUAACACAUGCAAGUCGAACGGAAAGACCCUGCUCUUGUGGCGUGCUCGAGUGGCGAACGGGUGAGUAAAACGUGAGUAUCAUGCCCUUGACUUAGUGAUAACUUCAGGAAACUGGGGCUAAUACCGGAUAGGAGCUACUGCUGCAUGGUGGGGGUUGGAAAGAUUCGGCGGUGGUGGAUGGACUAGCGGCUUAUCAGCUUGUUGGGGAGGUAGUUGCGUACCAGGCCUUUGACGGAUAGCCGGCCUGAGAGGUGGACCGGCGACCAGGGGACUGAGAGACGCCGCAGACUCCUACGGGACGCAACAGUGGGGAAUAUUGCAGAAUGGGGGGAAGUCUGAUGCGGCAACGCCGCGUGCGGGAAGAUGGGCUUCGGGUUGUAAACCGAUUUCGCAUGAGACGAAGCCUGAGUGACGGUAAUGGGUAAAGAAGCACCGGCUAACUACGUG